CCAUCAGAUCUUCCUGCUUCACCACUAGCUGUCGGCAGAGAGAAAACAAGAAGGUAUCGGAAUCAGUGUAGCUCCGGCCAAGAAUUUGCGACAGUAGGUAUUUUCAGCUAGCAAUUUCCAGCAGCAACCUCCCUGCUGUGAGGAUUGAGCAAUUUAUCUUUGCUGGCUGUAAACAAUCCUAAUUGGGUAACAACUUUGUGACUUCCAGCAGCGGUUGAA